rnacentral:rRNA from 1 species
GUAACAGGAGCAGCUUGCUGCUUCGCUGACGAGUGGCGGACGGGUGAGUAAUGUCUGGGAAACUGCCCGAUGGAGGGGGAUAACUACUGGAAACGGUAGCUAAUACCGCAUAAUGUCGCAAGACCAAAGAGGGGGACCUUCGGGCCUCUUGCCAUCGGAUGUGCCCAGAUGGGAUUAGCUUGUUGGUGAGGUAACGGCUCACCAAGGCGACCAUCCCUAGCUGGUCUGAGAGGAUGACCAGCCACACUGGAACUGAAACACGGUCCAGACUCCUACGGGAGGCAGCAGUGGGGAAUAUUGCACAAUGGGCGCAAGCCUGAUGCAGCCAUGCCGCGUGUAUGAAGAAGGCCUUCGGGUUGUAAAGUACUUUCAGCGGGGAGGAAGGGGUUAAGGUUAAUAACCUUAGCCAUUGACGUUACCCGCAGAAGAAGCACCGGCUAACUCCGUGCCAGCAGCCGCGGUAAUACCGAGGGUGCAAGCGUUAAUCGGAAUUACUGGGCGUAAAGCGCACGCAGGCGGUCUGUCAAGUCGGAUGUGAAAUCCCCGGGCUCAACCUGGGAACUGCAUUCCAAACUGGCAGGCUUGAGUCUCGUAGAAGGGGGUAGAAUUCCAGGUGUAGCGGUGAAAUG